rnacentral:rRNA from 1 species
AUUGAACGCUGGCGGCAGGCCUAACACAUGCAAGUCGAACGAGUGGCGGACGGGUGUGUAAUGUAUGGGAAACUGCCUGAUGGAGGGGGAUAACUACUGGAAACGGUAGCUAAUACCGCAUACCAUCAGAUGUGCCCGGAUGGGAUUAGCUUGAUGGGGGGGUAACGGCUCACCAAGGCGACGAUCCCUAGCUGGUCUGAGAGGAUGACCAGCCACACUGGAACUGAGACACGGUCCGGACUCCUACGGGAGGAAGCAGUGGGGAAUAUUGGACAAUGGGCGCAAGCCUGAUGCGUCCAUGCCGCGUGUAUGAAGAAGGCCUUCGGGUUGUAAAGUACGUUCAGCGGGGAGGCGGUACCCACAGAAGAAGCACCGGCUAACUCCGUGCCAGCAGCCGCGGUAAUUC